UACGUAGGGUGCAAGCGUUGUCCGGAAUUAUUGGGCGUAAAGGGCUCGUAGGCGGUCCAUCACGUCGGGAGUGAAAAGCUGGGGCUUAACCCCAGUCCUGCUUCCGAUACGGGUGGACUAGAGGUAGGUAGGGGAGAACGGAAUUCCUGGUGUAGCGGUGAAAUGCGUAGAUAUUGGGAGGAACACCAGUGGCGAAGGCGGCUCACUGGACCGGUUCUGACGCUGAGGCGCGAAAGCGUGGGGAGCAAACGGG
rnacentral:rRNA from 1 species